GCGGUGGUGGGUCCCAACCGGCGGUACCGGGUUCCUUCCCGACCAGCGGUGCUAGGUUCGGUUCGGACGCGCGCUGCUGGAUCUAAAUGGGCAGUGCUGGGUCCGAUGGGUGGUGCUGUGUUGGGUCCGGACGCGCGGUGCAGAGUCCGGACGGGCGGUGCUGGAUCCAAAUGGGCGGUGCUGGAUCUGGACGGGCGGUGAUGGGUCCGAUGGGCGGUGCUAUGUUCGGUUCGGACGGGCGGUGCUAGGUCUAAAUGGGCGCUGCUGGGUCCGAUGGGCGGUGCUGCGUUCGGUCCGGACGGGCGGGGACGGGCGGUGCUGGGUCCAAAUGGGUGGUGAUGGAUCUGUGGACGGGCGGUGCUGGUUCCAGACGGGCGGUGCUGGGUCCAGACGGGCGGUGGGUCCGAUGGGCGGUGCUAGGUUCGGUUCGGAUGGGUGGUGCUAGGUCUAAAUGGGCGGCGCCGGAUCCGAUGGGCGGUGCUGGGUUCGGUCCGGACUGGCGGGUCCGGGUCUGGACGGGCGGUGCUGGAUCCAAAUGGGGGUGCAGUGCUGGAUCUGGACGGGCGGUGCUGGGUCCGAACGGGCGAUGGGUCCCAUGGGCGGUGCUAGGUUCGGUUCGGACUGGCGGUGCUGGGUCUAAAUGGGCGGCGCUGGGUCCGAUGGGUGGUACUGGGUCCGGACGGGCGGUUCUGGGUCUGGACGGGCGGUGCAGUAUCCAAAUGGGCGCUGCUGGGUCCGGACGGGCGGUGCUAGGUUCGGUCCGGACGGGUGGUGCUGGGUCUAAAUGGGCGGUGCUAGGCUCAGCAGGGGACCGGUGGGCGUGGCGGCACAGGUACGGAGCGCAGGGCCGGUGGAGCGCCCUCUCCGAAGGGCCCUGCGCUCCCCGCGCUCGCUGCUCCUCCUGCCCGCGCAUUGCCCCGGGGCUGCUGCGUGUUUCUUCCAGGGUGAUUCCUUUCCGCUGGGUCACUUCAAAGCCGACCUUUUCAAGCUGUUUUCUUCCGCGGAGGACACGUUGUUAGGCUUUGUGUGCAUUUCAAGGGUCAUGUUUUCUGAACCGCGCUCUGCCGCUCUUGGGGUGUUCGAGCCCCCACACUGCUGUGCGGUGUUCCUCUCACAGAGUGAGGUUGGAGGGUCCCACUCCCUUUGUGUGUCUCCUUAGAAAACGCCUCUUCUCUCAGACACAUCGUUAUCUGCCAAUUCUUCGCAGACGUAGAGAACGGACUGCAGAGUUAAUAAACGUCGAGGGGAAGCUUUGAUGCGCCCCAUUUGGCCCUGAGAGAUGCCACGUGAUCGUCAUUUUAAAUCCUUUCCUGGGCUUCCCGAUGGACUCGAGUUUUUACUAUGUGAGCAUCCCGGUGCCUGCACAGCAAGGACUCUCAUUGGGUUCCACACGUGCUGCGCAGAUCCCUGACGCAGCGUUCACUGAACCUCAACUGCAGGAGCUUCAUUCCUGAGGACGCUGUUACCAAGAAUGACUUGCCUCUUGAAGAAUGAGUUUGCAAAGCCGGCAGUUAGAUUGCUGAUGUCCAAAGUAAGUAUGUGUAGCAUCACUAAAGAGAAAAUUCAGGAUUCCUGGAAAACAGUUAUGGGCUCUCUGCAGUGUUAUUUUUGUAAUAAAAAACAUAUAGCAUAUGUGAAAUACCUACUGGGUGAUGCAGGACACAUAGAAGGCUCGAAAUUAAUGUGAAUCAUUCUCGUUUUUCUGACUGUCAUUAAAAGUCCCCAUUUGUAUUAUGUAUGAGUGGUAUAUCAAUAUCUAAACUACACUUUAUUGUAGGUCCCAACCAACAUUAGUUUAUUGACAAAUGUUUAAGAGCAGCCAAAAAUUCAUAGAAUACCUAUGAUUCUUAAAUCAUGAACACUCCCAUAACUGGUAUAUGUUUAGGACAUGAAAAUUUCCAGGCUGACAAAUAAUUUCGCUGUCAUCGGUCAAGACUCCAGGAUGAUAUUCUGAGCCAUAUGUUAAUUUUGAUAACCACCUAGAACAAUAAAAGGUAAACAUGCUACCAUCUUCUAUUCUCAUUGCACCACUGGAUUCUGGUACAUCUAAAAAUUGUACUUAAAUGAUAUCCAAGAAAUGCUGUAAAAAACAAAAUAGGGCCGGGCGCAGUGGCUCACACCUGUAAUCCCAGCAUUUUGGGAGGCCAAGGCGGGCAGAUCACGAGGUCAGGAGAUCAAGACCAUCCUGGCUAACACGGUGAAACCCCGUCUCUACUAAAAAUACAAAAAAAAAAAAAA
rnacentral:lncRNA from 1 species